UGCAGUGUAGCGUAGUGGUGAGGAGCAGGGCUCGUAACCGUAAGGUUGUUGGUUCGAUUCUCCCCGGGGCAC